GCACAACGCGAAGAACCUUACCAGGUCUUGACAUCCCAUUGACCGGUCCUUAACCGGGCCUUCCCUUCGGGGCAAUGGAGACAGGUGGUGCAUGGUUGUCGUCAGCUCGUGUCGUGAGAUGUUGGGUUAAGUCCCGCAACGAGCGCAACCCUUGUCAUUAGUUGCCAGCACGUAAUGGUGGGAACUCUAAUGAGACUGCCGGGGAUAACUCGGAGGAAGGUGGGGACGACGUCAAAUCAUCAUGCCCCUUAUGUCUUGGGCUACACACGUGCUACAAUGGCCGGUACAAAGAGCUGCAAUACCGUAAGGUGGAGCGAAUCUCAUAAAGCCGGUCUCAGUUCGGAUCGUGGGCUGCAACCCGCCCACGUGAAGCCGGAGUUGCUAGUAAUCGCGAAUCAGCAUGUCGCGGUGAAUGCGUUCCCGGGUCUUGUACACACCG
rnacentral:rRNA from 1 species